rnacentral:lncRNA from 1 species
GUGUGUGUCUGGAAAUUUAAAUGUUUUUCCAAAUCUCAUAUCCCAAACAAAACCUGUCAAGAAAUUAGGAAAACUAUAAAACUACUAUAAUUCUGCUACUACAAUUAAAAGAAGUAGAAAGUGUUUUGACAAAACCCAUUGAUGUCACGUUGAAAGCAAGAGCUGGGUGCACUAACACUCAGAGUUGGAGAAUAAGGCUGGACAUUUCUGGGAAGAGAUGUUGAUGAUGUAAUCACUCAGGUUUGCUCAUAGUUGUUGCUGUGUCGUAAGUGUGUUUUCAUGGUCCUGUCUGCUGCUAAUGCUCUUCAGUAUUCCACCAGGAUUCUGGACAAAGAACAGUUAAUCUGUGCCCGUUUGCAGACAGUCACCUGGGUUACUUUUCUCCGUUUCCUCUCUACUAACAGUAGCCUGGACAGUGAGUUCUGCAGUAAUGAGAUUUUC